GAUGAACGCUGGCGGCGUGCCUAAUACAUGCAAGUCGAGCGAACAGAUGAGGAGCUUGCUCCGCUGACGUUAGCGGCGGACGGGUGAGUAACACGUGGAUAACCUACCUAUAAGACUGGGAUAACUUCGGGAAACCGGAGCUAAUACCGGAUAAUAUAUUGAACCGCAUGGUUCAAUAGUGAAAGACGGUUUUGCUGUCACUAAUAGAUGGAUCCCCGCCGCAUUAGCUGGUUGGUAAGGUAACGGCUUAUCAAGGCAACGAUGCGUAGCCGACCUGAGGGGGUGAUCAGCCACACUGGAACUGAGACACGGUCCAGACUCCUACGGGAGGCAGCAGUAGGGAAUCGUCCGCAAUGGGCGAAAGCCUGACGGAGCAACGCCGCGUGAGUGAUGAAGGUCUUCGGAUCGUAAAACUCUGUUAUUAGGGAAGAACAAAUGUGUAAGUAACUAUGCGCGUCUUGACGGUACCUAAUCAGAAAGCCACGGCUAACUACGUG
rnacentral:rRNA from 1 species